GGAUGUGAGGGCGAUCUGGCUGCGACAUCUGUCACCCCAUUGAUCGCCAGGGUUGAUUCGGCUGAUCUGGCUGGCUAGGCGGGUGUCCCCUUCUUCCCUCACCGCUCCAUGUGCGUCCCUCCUGAAGCUGCGUGCUCGGUCGAAGAGGACGACCAUCCCCGAUAGAGGAGGACCGUUCUUCUCGGUCAAGGGUAUACGAGUAGCUGCGCUCCCCUGCUAGAACCUCCAAACAAUAAUAUGAAGCCAUUCACAAAUGAGGAAAUCCAAAUUAAAAGAUCGUCACUAGUAACAGAAAAAUGAAAAUUU
rnacentral:snRNA from 1 species